rnacentral:lncRNA from 1 species
GGAGAGGACUCGGUGCCCUCGCUGGUUAGUCAUGGUCGACUGAUGACAUCAGCAAAACAACAUACUGACAUAAUAAAUAUGUUUUUUUAUUUUCAGAAAUUAUAAAAAUAUGGAAGAAAAAAAUCAGAAAGACAAUCUACCAAAUUUCAAUUUCAGAUAAUCAAAAUCUAAAUCCUACGCCUCAUCCUCCUCCCAGUGCCAAUUACGCAACCCAAUCAACCAACCAACCAAAACAAUCAGAUUGAAACGAAAAUCACAAAAAAUCUAACCAUUCCAUGAAGUGAAAACAAGAAGAGCACGGGAACCAAAUCGGAAGAACAAAUACAAGGAAAAGAAGCAAAAAAUCAAGGAGUAACUCAACAUGGAGGAGGAGUUCUGGUAGGAAAUUGGGAAUGGUUGUUCCGACUUUCAACCCAUGUAUUAACAAGAGAAAAAAAAAACUGUUUGGGAAACUCGGUCUGGACCAGCCGGUUCAACCGGUCCAUCCGGUGCAACCAGUCCAUUCGGACCCGCUGGUUUUUUCUGACUUUUGAAGUUCUAAACAACUCGAACCGGGCCGGUCAAACUUAAACGUGUUUCUCAUGUUGGUUACUUAGCCCAGUUGGUUAUGCUUUCCAAUUGAAGAUUCAAAAUUUGAACCUUGGUGGUAGCAUGAUUACUGUAUUGCUAAAAUAAAUUUAAAACUUAUAGCGGUAUUACAAGAGAAAUCAAGAACUUCUUCCACCAGAAACUUACUUGUACCUAACAUUUUAUAUAAUCAGUAGAUGAAAUAUUCAAAUAUCUGUUGCUCUCCUCCAAUAACUAUCUAGAAUUAGUUCUAGAGUUACAGAUGACAUGAUUUUUACUUCUGUAAUAAUUUGCUUUCUUUAAUAUGCGUGAUACUAUGUGCAUCAAACAAUUAUUGACAAUUUU